UACGUAGGGGUGCGAGCGUUAAUCGGAAUUACUGGGCGUAAAGCGUGCGCAGGCGGCGCGUUAAGACAGAUGUGAAAGCCCCGAGCUUAACUUGGGAAUUGCAUUUGAGACUGCGUAGCUAGGGUGCGGAAGAGGGAAGCGGAAUUUCCGGUGUAGCGGUGAAAUGCGUAGAUAUCGGAAGGAACACCAGUGGCGGAAAGCGGCUUCCUGGUCCAGCACCGACGUCAGGCACGAAAGCGUGGGGAGCAAACAGG
rnacentral:rRNA from 1 species